AGGAAAAAACUCCAAACAACCGAUUGCCGCUUCUGACUGAUCAAACCAUUCUAAGCAUAAAACAAACUAAACCCAUCGUAUGAAUCAACAACUUUACUGUUCUUCUAGCAUUGAUUCAUAAAUCAAUGUACAAUCCUACAAUGCAUAAUUCCAGUCUAAAAAUGGAAAACUGACAAUGAUCAAAGCAAUAAAUUUUUUAAUUCCAAAAAAGGAAAAUAAAAAUAUAUAUGAAACCCCGUUCCCAAUGGCCUUUCUUAAUGCACCAGAAACCAAAUACAUGGCCAUAAAUCUUUGAAAGAGAGGAAAUGAAGCAUCAAAAAACCAUAUUACCAAAUUCAUCAUUUUCCAAUCCUUUUAAACUUAAAAUCCUAAUGAAACGUAACUAGUUUAAGAUCUAUGGCCAAAAGGGUAUCACAAAAAAAGAUACGACCAACAAUCGUUUCCCUGUUUGAUCACUUCAAGGAAAAACGGAGUUGAAACCCGAGAAAACGGAAAAUGAAACCAGGGUAUCUUGCGUUUUAGC
rnacentral:lncRNA from 1 species